UGGGGAAUCUUCCGCAAUGGACGAAAGUCUGACGGAGCAACGCCGCGUGAGUGAUGACGGCCUUCGGGUUGUAAAGCUCUGUUAAUCGGGACGAAAGGCCUUCUUGCGAAUAGUUAGAAGGAUUGACGGUACCGGAAUAGAAAGCCACGGCUAACUACGUGCCAGCAGCCGCGGUAAUACGUAGGUGGCAAGCGUUGUCCGGAAUUAUUGGGCGUAAAGCGCGCGCAGGCGGAUUGGUCAGUCUGUCUUAAAAGUUCGGGGCUUAACCCCGUGAUGGGAUGGAAACUGCCAAUCUAGAGUAUCGGAGAGGAAAGUGGAAUUCCUAGUGUAGCGGUGAAAUGCGUAGAUAUUAGGAAGAACACCAGUGGCGAAGGCGACUUUCUGGACGAAAACUGACGCUGAGGCGCGAAAGCCAGGGGAGCGAACG
rnacentral:rRNA from 2 species